rnacentral:rRNA from 1 species
GACAGAGGGUGCAAACGUUGUUCGGAAUUACUGGGCGUAAAGCGCGUGUAGGCGGCUUGGCAAGUCGGGUGUGAAAGCCCUGGCUCAACCUAGGAAGUGCACUCGAAACUGCCUCGCUUGAAUGCCGGAGAGGAAAGCGGAAUUCUCGGUGUAGAGGUGAAAUUCGUAGAUAUCUGGAGGAACACCGGUGGCGAAGGCGGCGAUCCUGGACCG